rnacentral:lncRNA from 1 species
UUCGCCCCGCCGUCCGCGCUCUGCCCCGCAUCCAUCCCCUUGCGCUCAGGCCUCCCCCGUGCGUCUCUCGCCCCUGUUCUGUCUCGUCCAGCCACCGUGUGGCCUCACCGGACCGCCUCUUGCUUUCCCGACCCCUUGCCGCCCCCAACCCUCUCUCUUUCUUGUUGUUUUGCAGCCGAACCAGCAGACCCACGGAGUGGGUAUCCAGCUGUUCGUGGGCCGUUUUGGGCUGUUUCCCGGCCCCGAACCCGAGCCGUGCUUUGGGAACAAUCGUUCCUCACGUCGCCGCCGUCGGAUUGAUCCGAUUUGCGCGCGAUUUGGUGAGUAAUCUCACUAAUCUUGGAUUAGUUGGCUAAUUAUGCUUAAGGUUGGUUUAGAUUUAAUUAAUUAUGUUUAGGUUGUUAGAUUAGAAUAAAUUAGCAAUUAUUAGUCAAUUGUGAUGUGAUUUAGAUAAAUUGAUUGUGCAAUUAGCAAGUAGACGUGGUCUACUAAUUAUUGGAAGUGCUUCGGGAAUUUUCCUGACCCUCAGUGGGCUCCAAUUAGGCUUUUCGUGCCUAAGUGGAUUUUUUUGUAUUUAAAUAUUAAUUUUCGGAAUUAAAUUAAAUAAUUAUUUAUUUUCCGAAAAUUCAACUGAGAUGGCUCGGGACCGGAAUAUUGUGCUGAUGACCGUGGUGAAGUCCGUUUAGUUAAUCGCGCUUUAUUUUGAGCUAAAUUGAAUUUUUAAUAUUAAUUAUUUAAUUUUCGAAAUUAAUAAAUAAAUUAAUUAUUUUUCGGAAAUUAAGAUUUUGAUGGCCGAUGACCGAAAUCUCGUGCCGAUCGUCGUGGCGCAGUCCGUUUAUUUAUUUGAGCUCUACGUUGUAUGGAAUUGAAUAAAUUGUGAUAUUUUAGGGAUUUACCCUAAAUUGAUUUGGAGUCGAUUGAGAUUGAAUUAUCGAUUGGUGAAUGGCCAAGUAUGUUUAUUCAGCAUUUAUAAUGCUUUGUUGAGUUAAUUUAAUUAUUUGAUUGAGUAUUGAUUGGUGAAUGGCCAAGUAUGUUUAUUCAGCAUUUAUAAUGCUUUGUUGACUUGAUUUAAUUAUUUGAUUGAGAAAUCGUUGGGCAUUGGUUGUCGAUAUUGAAAGUAAAUUGGUAACCACUGCAAAGAGGACACGUGGGCUUGGUGAAUUGGAAUGUUACCUGGAAAAUGCACGUGAGUUCAGUGGUUGAAUAUGUCACAUUGGCGAAAAGGUCGCCUGAGAGAAUGCACGUGGCUCGGAGACUCGGUAUGUCGUCCUGGAGAAUGCACGUGGCUUGGUGACAGGAUUUGGCAUCUAAAAGGACACGUGGCUCGGUGAUCUGAUGCGUCACUUUAGUAAGCGAGUACCUUAGAGAAUGCACGUGGGUCCAGCAUUCCGGAAUGGCAUCUAAAAGGGCACGUGGCUCGGUGAAUUGAUGCAUCACCUUGGUGAGAUAGCACCUUAGAGAAUGCACGUGGGCCCAGGCAUCGUAAAAAGGACACGUGGCUCGGUGGCUUGAUGUACCACCUUGGCAAAGAGGUCGCCUUAGAGAAUGCACGUGGGCCCAGGCAUCCUAAAAAGGACACGUGGCUCGGUGGCUUGAUGUAACGUGGACUCGGAGACUUGGAAGGUCAUCCUGGAGAAUGCACGUGGCCUAGCUUUUAAAUAUCCCACAGUGGGAAUUGAUUUGUUUGGCAUGUAAUCGACUAGGUCGAUGCUUUGAUUUGAUGUUGUGAAUUGAUUGACUGAAUGGAAAUGACCGUGAGUGGUCUUGUUGGAAUAUAAUCGACUAGGUCGAUUUGAUCGAUGCUUCGAUCGGUGAUAUGACUGCUUGGGUGCCUAUUGUGAAUUGUACUGACUUGCAGGUGGGAUCAGAGGCCAAGGUAAGUCCUCUGCCCUGUGCGUGUUUAGGCAGCCUUUAGUAUAAUAGUUUACUAAUUGGGCUUAGUGGGGUAGAACUCGCUGAGACGUAGUCUCAUCCCAGUUUGGGGAAAAACCAUUUCAGGACCCCGACGAGAAGCUGAGGAGGAAUCUAAGAGAACUCGGAGGUGAAACUUAAAGAGAAAGAUUUUUGGAAGAAGA